rnacentral:rRNA from 1 species
AUUGAACGCUGGCGGCAGGCCUAACACAUGCAAGUCGAACGAGUGGCGAACGGGUGAGUAAUGGCUGGGAAACUGCCCGAGGGAGGGGGAUAACUACUGGAAACGGUAGCUAAUACCACAUACCAUCGGAUGUGCAAGGAGUGGAUUAGCUAGGCGGUGGGGUAACGGCUCACCUAGGCGACGAUCCCUGGCUGGUCUGAGAGGAUGACCAGCCACACUGGAACUGAGACACGGUCCAAACUCCUACGGGAGGCAGCAGUGGGGAAUCUUGCACAAUGGGCGCAAGCCUGAUAGAGCCACGCCGCGUGUAUGAAGAAGGCCUUCGGGUUGUAAAGUACUUUUAGCGAGGAGGCGUUACUCGCAGAAGAAGCACCGGCUAACUCCGUGCCAGCAGCCGCGGUAAUUC